AUGUGGCGCCGCCACCUCCUCCGCCGCCUCCUACCAUCUCCGGCCACCGCCGGCACCCCCUCCCCGUUGGUUCGCCACCUCUCCACGACCCCCACCCCCUUCUCCACCACCGAUACCACCUCCAUCGCCUCCUCCCUCGCCGCGGCGGUCACCAAGCUCUCAUCCACCCCGGCCCCCGCCACCUCCCCGGACGCCUACUUCUCCCUCCACUUCUCCGACGUCCGCCCUACCAACGCGCUCCUCGCCGAGACGCUCUCCCUCUCCCCUCCCGCCACCUCGCGCGCCGCCGCUGACCUCUUCCGCUUCCUCGUCCGCCGCUCGCUGCACCCCUCCGACGGUGCUCUCGCUCUCGUCGUCCGCCACCUCGCCCGCCGCCGCGACUUUCCCGCCGUCCGCACGCUCCUUCAGGAGUUCCCCUCCGCGCUAGGGCCAGACACAGUCGACGCCUACCUCUUUCAUCUGGCGAGAGCUGGGCGCGCCACGGACGCGCUCAAGGUGUUCGACGAAUUGCCUGGGGAGCUUCGCACCCGUGGGGCGCUCACUUCGCUGGUCUCCUCCCUCUCGUCCGAGGGCUUCCCACAGCUUGCAGAGCGUGCUGUCAAGAAGAUCGCCCAUGAGAUCUUUCCGGAUGACAAUAUUUGCACUUUGCUGGUAUCUGGUUAUGCUGAUGCUGGUAAGCUUGACCAUGCGCUAAGGCUGAUCGGUGAGACACGAAAUGGUGGGUUCCAGCCAGGUUUGGAUGCCUACAAUGCUGUUCUUGAUUGUGUUUGCCGUCUCUGCCGCAAGAAAGACCCGUUAAGGAUGCCUGUAGAGGCAGAGAAGUUCUUAGUUGACAUGGAGGCCAAUGGCAUUCCCCGUGAUGCGGGAACGUUCCGGGUGCUGAUAAAAAAUCUCUGUAAGAUUCGCAGGACUGAGGAUGCAAUGAAGCUGUUCCGACAAAUGGGCGAGUGGGGAUGCUCGCCAGAUGCUGACACAUAUCUUGUGCUUAUCAAGAGCUUGUACCAGGCUGCCAGGAUCUCUGAAGGGGAUGAAUUGAUGAUUUGGAUGCGGUCUGCAGGUUUUGGAGAUAAACUUGAUAGGAAGGCAUAUUAUGGGUUCAUCAAGGUUUUAUGUGGGAUUGAGAGGGUUGAGCAUGCUGUCAAGGUGUUCCGCCUGAUGAAAGGAUACGGGCAUGCACCUGGAACGAAAUCAUAUAGCCUGCUGAUUGAGAAGUUGGCUAGGCAUAACUUAGGGGAUCGUUCAAAUGCACUGUUCAGGGAGGCAGUAGCGCGUGGGAUUACCGUGACACCAGGAGUCUAUAAGAUUGACAAGAGGUAUGUGAAAGAGAAGAAGGAGAAGAAGGUGAAGAAAAAGCUGACUUUACCGGAGAAGAAGAUAUUAAAGAGCAAGCGGCUGUACAAGCUCAAAAUGAGCUUUGUCAAGAAGCCUAAGCGGCGAAUGAGGGCUUGA
rnacentral:rRNA from 1 species